CGAUGAGGACGGUGGCGGAGGAUGGGUACAGGCCGCCGUUCACGGCGGUGCAAUGGCAGGAGUUGGAGCAUCAAGCAAUGAUAUAUAAGUACUUAGUGGCGGGUAUUCCUGUGCCUCCGGACCUUGUUGUUCCUAUACGACGUAGCUUUGAAGCCAUCUCGGCGAGGUUCUUCCAUCAUACUAGCUGUAUGUUUCUCUUUCUUCUUUUAGUAAUUCUCAUUUUCGUUGUACCUAUACGACGUAGCUUUGAAGCCAUCUCUGCAAGGUUCUUCCAUCAUACUAGCUGUAUGUUUCUCUUUCUUCUUUUAGUAAUUCCCAUUUUCUUUUUUAGUUUUUUGUCAUAACGAUGGUGCGGACCAGCUUGCAUGUACCUCAAAUAUUUC
rnacentral:lncRNA from 1 species